rnacentral:rRNA from 1 species
GGACGGGUGAGUAACGCGUGAGUAACCUGCCUCUGAGAGGGGAAUAACAUUCUGAAAAGAAUGCUAAUACCGCAUAACAUAUAUUUAUCGCAUGGUAGAUAUAUCAAAGAUUUAUCGCUUAGAGAUGGACUCGCGUCCGAUUAGUUAGUUGGUGAGGUAACGGCUCACCAAGACCGCGAUCGGUAGCCGGACUGAGAGGUUGAACGGCCACAUUGGGACUGAGACACGGCCCAGACUCCUACGGGAGGCAGCAGUGGGGGAUAUUGCGCAAUGGGGGAAACCCUGACCCAGCAACGCCGCGUGAAGGAUGAAGGUCUUCGGAUUGUAAAC